rnacentral:misc_RNA from 1 species
AAGCAAGCCAAGGAGCAGGGAUUUUGAGCAUAAUGUCGAUAAUGAGAAGAACAAUUUUGUUGAGUUGAACCAUAGGGGUAUUGGCUUGAAUCAUAAGUAUGAAAGGGAAAGUAAACAUCUUUCCAGGAAUGGUAAGAAUUAUGCUAUUGGUUCAGAUGAUCAAAGGGUUUUUCGUCGGCUGGAUUCACCCGUCCCACCAGCAGGAAGUAAACUUCACUCUGUUUUGGCUUCUGAUGUUGAGGAUUCCACGUUGGAAUUACGUGGUGAGGAUGCUGAGAGUGGGGAAGAAACUGUCUCUGUGAUGAGGGAUGUUUUAGGUAGGAGUUCUGCUCAAGGCCAAAGCGAACUGGAUGAAUUGGGAGAACAUGUUAUCAGUUCUCUUGGACUUGAGGAUGAACCAAAUGAAAGAAGUGAUAAAAAGAAUCAUCAUGCCUCUCGAGAUAAGGACUAUCGAUCAGACAAGAGAGGAGCAUACAUACUUGGCCAGAGGAUGAGGAUGUUGAAAAGACAGAUUGCAUGUCGGAGUGACAUUAAUAGGAUGAAUGGUGCUUUCCUAGCAACAUUUCAAUCCUUAAUUCCUCCGGAGGAAGAAAGGACAAAGCAGAAACAGUUAUUAGCACUGCUGGAUGGAAUUGUUAGCAAGGAAUGGCCUAAUGCUCGGCUCUAUGUUUAUGGAUCAUGUGCCAAUUCUUUUGGAUUCUCGAAAAGUGAUAUUGAUAUUUGCCUUGCAAUUGAGGAUGCAAAUAUUGACAAAUCAGAGGUAUUGUUGAAGUUGGCUGACAUGUUGCAGUCAGGCAAUCUCCAGAAUGUGCAGGCACUUACACGUGCCAGGGUGCCGAUAGUCAAGCUUAUGGAUCCAGAAACUGGGAUAUCUUGCGACAUAUGUGUGAAUAAUGUUUUGGCUGUUGUUAACACAAAGCUGCUUCGAGAUUAUGCACAAAUAGAUGUACGAUUAAGACAGUUGGCAUUUAUUGUUAAACAUUGGGCUAAGUCUAGAGGGGUGAACGAAACUUACCAGGGGACAUUAUCUAGCUAUGCGUAUGUGUUAAUGUGCAUUCACUUUCUACAGCAGCGAAGACCUGCCAUCCUUCCAUGUCUACAGGGUAUGGAAGCAACCUACUCUGUUACUGUUGGCAACAUUGAAUGUGCUUACUUUGAUAAAGUGGAAAAGCUUUAUGGUUUUGGAUCUCAAAAUGGUGAAAGUCUUGCUCGGUUGGUGUGGGCAUUCUUCAGCUACUGGGCAUAUUGUCAUGAUUAUGCAAAUGAUGUUAUUUCCAUUCGUUCAGGAAGUACAGUGAGCAAGCGAGCCAAAGACUGGACUAGGAGGAUUGGGAAUGACAGGCAUCUGAUAUGCAUAGAGGAUCCAUUUGAGGUUUCUCAUGAUCUUGGUCGGGUGGUAGACAAGUUCAGCAUAAGAGUUUUGAGGGAAGAAUUCGAACGAGCUGCUGAAAUAAUGCAGUAUGACCCGAACCCAUGUGUGAAACUUUUCGAACCUUAUAUACCUAGCUGAUUUGGUCUUCUGUUCAAGUAAAACAACCAAUAAUUAUAGGAAUGUCCGGUCGUGCUGUAAAUGUUAUAAAGUUUGUUUCUUGUAUCCCUUGUGGUUUUGGCUUUCACCUCUCAAGUGUAUUUAGGCGCUUUUGAUCUUCAUCUAUCAUCUAUCAUCUAGGUGUUUUUGAUGUAAAAGAACCAUCUCCUUGAAUUCUAUGGUAUGUAUUCUGUUU